AACGCCCGCAGUAAACGCCCUCCGUUUUUCCCAUUGGAAGACUUUCUCCAUUUCUCCAAUCUCGCCAGAAAAAGAAACCCACCAAGAAUCAACACGUUUUCCACCUAAAAAUUUUUUCUGUUACUUUCACACAGGAGAAUCGAAUUCAAAUACUUCAAUUUUCUGCUUUUCAAUCAGACUUACGGCUAUUUGAUCAACCAUCAAGAACUUGGGUUCAACCAGCAAACAGAGUUCUUUCUCUUAUGAAGCCUUGGAGCCAUUAAUUGGAGGAGGAAAAAGUUUUUAAUAAGCAGCUGAGAAUCAA
rnacentral:lncRNA from 1 species